UACAGAGGGUGCAAGCGUUAAUCGGAAUUACUGGGCGUAAAGCGCGUGUAGGCGGCUCUUCAAGUCAGACGUGAAAGCCCCGGGCUUAACUCGGGAACUGCGUUUGAUACUGUCGAGCUAGAGUGUGGAAGGGGCGAUUGGAAUUCCGUGUGUAGCGGUGAAAUGCGUAGAUAUACGGAGGAACACCAGAGGCGAAGGCGGAUCGCUGGGCCAACACUGACGCUGAGACGCGAAAGCUAGGGGAGCAAACGGG
rnacentral:rRNA from 1 species